rnacentral:tRNA from 1 species
AGAGACUUAGGCUAAUACAGACCUGGGGCCUUCAAAGCCCUCAGUGGGAGUGAAAAUCUCUCAGCCUCUG